rnacentral:piRNA from 1 species
UCACCUGGACGAGGACGAGGAGCG